GGUUGUAGCUCAGUGGUAGAGCGCUUGCUUUGCAUGCAUGGGGCCCUGGGUUUGAUCCUUAGCACCA
rnacentral:tRNA from 1 species